rnacentral:rRNA from 1 species
UACGUAGGGUGCGAGCGUUAAUCGGAAUUACUGGGCGUAAAGCGUGCGCAGGCGGUUUUGUAAGCCAGAUGUGAAAUCCCCGGGCUUAACCUGGGAAUGGCAUUUGGGACUGCAAGGCUCGAGUGCGGUAGAGGAGACUGGAAUUCCUGGUGUAGCAGUGAAAUGCGUAGAUAUCAGGAGGAACACCGGUGGCGAAGGCGGUGAUCUGGGCCGGCACUGACGCUGAGGAGCGAAAGCGUGGGUAGCAAACAGG